UAGUCAUUCCAAAGUCCGUUGGGUGAUCCCCAUCCAGAAUCUAGAUCCAUGCCAUCCCAGUGGUUGAGACGUGAAUUCCCAUCCAGAUUGGAAAUGGCGGGGUGCUUAAAAAUGCACAGAGUUGAAGCUCUGAAAUGAGAAGUUGUCUUCAUCACACAGGCGCAGACGCUACAGAAAUCCUAGCCCACUGCAAAGAUCUCUCUUCCUCACUGCAACUACAAUCUCAAUUGUUUACUGUAACCUAGCCAAGGAGUUUCUCUCUCUAAAAGAACAUAAUCUCUCUUUGAAACUCAUUGUGUUCCCGCCCCAUAAUCGUACUCUCUUCCUGCCAAGAACCAGGCGAUAUGGACUUUGCAUCGAUGCCCUUCUCCAAAUUGUGCAAACCUAACAACAAGACAAUCUGCAACUCCAUGAUCAGAGGGUUUGCUUAACAUAAAAUCGGGCAAAAGGCCUUCAUCUUUUAUACCCUUCUAGAAACUGGUUUUUCUUCCAAUAACUUCACAUUCACCAUUUUAUUGGAGUGCAAAUCUAUUGCUUCUUUUUUUCUCUACGAUUCAAAUUUUAGGCUUUCAUUCUAAAUUUGAAAUCAUGCUUUUCUCUAUGUAUUUCAAGUGUUUUUUUUAUCUAAGUGAGCUUGUAUAUAGUUAUAUGUCUAAGGCUUUGUGCAUGCUUUAUCUGAUUCCUUGGGUUUUAUUUCUGUGCCGAUUGAUUUCUCAGUUUCGUUUCUGAUGCCUUUAAUUUUAUCUGUGAUCUCUCCCUUUAUCUUAACUCUUUCUCCAUUAAAUUUGUUAUUGGAAUUGAUUGUGUAAUAUGGAAUAGGGCUAGCAUUUCGAUGAUGAUGCAAUUUGCAAUUUGACUUCUGUUAAUUUUUGGGAUGGCUCUUAAACUUGAACUCAAAAGUAUAGAGUUUAUUUGGUGUUGGGUUUGAGUUCAUUUGGAUGAAUUUUCAUCCGCAAAAUUGGCGAAAUAUAGGGAAUACCUUGAAUUAUUGUGAUUUGAUUUGGGGGCUUUUGAACUUGAAGAGUUUUCGUGUGAGUAUUUUUCACAGAAAUGGAUAUUUUAUUUAAAAUGAAUUGUUUUCAAAUACUAUUUCAGUUUAAUAACAUUCCAUUUAUGCUUUAUUUUAAUAUGAAUGUCUGCAUUUUUUUUAGUUCUUGGAUAAUAAAACAUGUCUAUAGUUUUUUUUUUUUCUUUUCACAGAAAUGGAUAUUUUAUUUAAAAUGAAUUGCUUUCAAAUACUAUUUCAGUUUAAUAACAUUCCAUUUAUGCUUUAUUUUAAUAUGAAUGUCUGCAUUUUUUUUAGUUCUUGGAUAAUAAAACAUGUCUGUAGUUUUUUUUUUUUCUCCCUGUGAUAAAAGGCAACCAUAUCUAAGGUAGAUUUGUGUUGCAUAUGAAAUCAUUAUAAUCAUGCAUGCAUGUUAUGCAUGUGCAUGGCUUAAUUCUUAUCUUUGAUGAUCAUAUAUGGACUAACAGGCUUGUUUCCCAUGCAAAAUAUAGGCAAUUUACAGUUGCAUGCAUUUUCUUGUAGUCUUUGAGAAGUGUCCAAAACUAUUUGUUAGAGUAGACCUGAAUCAGGCUGGAACAGCCAACCGCUUCAACGGAACAGUACUCAAAGUAGGGGCAGGAGAUGGUGUGGGUGGCAGGAACCGGAGCGGAGAUAGGCCCAAGAUAUACUGGAUGGCCUGUUCAUGGGAGUAGAUAUUUGCCAUGACUGACAAAAUGAAGGAAAAUGUCGAACGUGAGAGGAAGGAGAGGAUGGUAGUGUUGUUUGCCGCUUACACUGCAACUUUAUGUAUAGUAACUGCAGCUCUGGCUGCUUGUACUCAUAAAAUGAAGGGUUGAAAACAUAAAAGGUUAUUAGGUACCAGUUACCACCUCAAUGAGUUACCAAGUGAAAGAGGAUGAUGUAUCAGAGACAUCUGUGCAGUCGUUUGCGUCUAGGAGGAAUACAGUUACGAGGCCAAAGAAGAAGAGGUCAAUAUCCGACGCAAUUGAUGCUUUGGCAAAGGCUGCGUGUUAUCUGUCAGAGGCUAUUCAAAACCUCUAUCAAAAUCCAUACACAACUAGUGUCAGCAAGGCCAUAUCUAAGAUCAAGGGCCUCAUACCCCGUAGCUAGGACGCUUGCAUCGAUGGAAAUUGUUGCAGAUGUAAAUGUCUCCCAGCUGUUCUUGAAUCUGAGUCUGAAAGAUAGAGCAGAAUAUGUUUUCGAUGUGUAUGCUGCGAAAGAUUGAAUGACUUGCCUCUCUCUUUCUCUCUCAUGUUAUAAACAGAUCAACAUCUUCAUUGAUGCAUACUCCUCCCCCUCUCUCUCA